GAAACAAACAACCAGGCAAACACUGCAAGUAAAUCUUUCGACAUGGAUAUCCUCUGCCAACUAUUUAAGUCGUCCAGAAGGGACUGAACAUUGGUAAAUGUGUAAUCUUCUGCUUACGUUUUGCCAUACGGUAUGAUUGGAAUUGUAAUAAUGUAUCAAAUUUAAUUGAUCAUCGGUUUCUGCGCCGAUUUGAUGAAGACAGAAAACGACGAGAUACAAAGGAACUGCGAUAAUUGCUUUGUUAUGGUCGAAAUAAAGCUCACGCAGAUGUUCCACGUCGAAUCGUGCCAAAUCAAAUCUAACGAUUAUGAAGAUUAAAAAAUUCUGGGAGACGAUAUUCGACGAUUUUUAAUUUUUUAAUACAAAGUAAACAUACUUAUCGAACGUUGAAACGAUGCACAUGGCAAUAAGAAACGAAAAGAUGUUUGUAUAAAUCUCACAAAAUGAGCCAACCAGGAUAAAAUAUGCCCAAUAAAACGAUUCUAUUGUCGAAGGAUUCAGAAGGCCGUGGAUUCCGUGAUAUAUAGAUAGACCAGUUCCAACACAAAAGAUACCAA